rnacentral:rRNA from 1 species
AUGCCUGAUUCAAGCAGGGAAAUUCUUCACACUAGAAGAGGAUUCGUUGGGCGCGACAAGGAGAAGGAUGAUAUCCUGCAGUUGCUCAUCCAGCCAUGUGCCAAGUCUGCUGUUAUCUCUGUUGUUGGUGAAGCAGGAAUUGGGAAGACAACUCUUGCUCAGAUGGUGUUCACUGAUGCAACAGUUCAGGAGCAUUUUGAUGUCAAAUGUUGGGUGUCAGUUUCCAGUAGCUCCAACAAGAUGGAGCUCGCAGCCGAGAUCCUAAGGUCUGUCCUACCGGCCUGGGAUGGCUCCGCUGACAAGAUGCUGGAUUUUAAAAUGCUUCAGUCGGAGCUCCGUCGAGCUCUUACAUCCAAGAGGUAUCUGAUUGUUCUUGAUGAUGUGUGCAACAUCACAGAUGAAACCUGGAUGGACAUGCUCGCUCCUCUACAGUCAGCAGAUACCGGGAGCAGAAUUAUGGCGACUUCCCGCAUGGACACCAUGCCUCACAUCUUCAGAGCGUCGCAGCUGUACACCGUGAAUCCGCUGAAGAGCGAGGAUUGCUGGACCCUGCUGAAGGAACAUGCUUUGCCAAGUGAUCCCGGUAAUGUCUAUCAAGAACUUCACCCGAUCGGGAAGCAGAUUGCUGAAAAAAUCAAUGGAUCACCUCUGGCUGCUAAGCUAGUGGGAGGUUUGCUGGGAGAUACAAGGAGCACAAUUCACUGGAUGAACAUCAUGGAAAAAGGAUUACAAGAUAAUGCUGUUUUCUCCGCCCUAUGCUUGAGCUAUAAAUACCUACCGGUACACCUCAAGCGAUGCUUUGCAUAUUGCAGUUUGUUUCCAGAGGACUAUAAGUUUGAUCCAGCACACUUGUUCCGCCUUUGGAUUGCCGAGGGUUUUGUUCAACCACAAGACAGGGCUGAAAAAAGGAUGGAAGACAUUGCUAGAGAAUAUUUUGAUCAGCUCCUUUCACGCUCAUUCUUCCAGGAAAUCAAGCUUGGAUCCAAGACGUACUACUUGGUGCAUGGCUUACUCCAUGAUCUUGCAAGGUCUGUUGCAGCGGAGGACUGUUUCCGUAUUGACGAUGGCACGAACUGUGACAUCCCGUUAACAGUGCGCCAUCUGUCUGUCACCAUGAACAGUCUACCUGCCCUCACAAGCUUCCGCAGUCUAAAAGAGUUGCGCACCUUGUUAAUCCGACCGUCACUUCCAUCCAACUCCAGUUGCUCCCAAGAGGAUUUUGCUGUGAAUUUAAAAAGUAUCCUGGAGAAGUCAAAACAGUUGCGUGUUCUUGAUCUCAGUUGCUUUAAGUCCAAAGAGUUGCCCCAAUGCAUUGAUGACUUAUUGCACCUCCGUUACCUAUCUAUCCAUGGCUCCAUCCAGAGGCUUCCUGAGUCGAUUGGCAAGCUCCUGCAUCUGCAAGUAUUGUGCUUCACUGGGAAAUGUUCUUUUGAUAAGCUUCCUGAGAACGUUACUAUGUUGGUCAAUUUGCGGCACCUUCUUGUUGAAACAAAGUGUACUGCAGGAUUGGCGGGCAUUGGUCGGCUAGCUAACCUUCAGGGAUCACUUGAGUUCCACAGUGAGAAGAGGGAAGGGCAUAGACUAGAAGAGUUGAGGAACAUCAAUGGUCUCCAUGGGCUACUAAAAAUAAAAGGUCUAGAAAAUGUUUCAAGCUAUGAAGAAGCCUGCAAAGCUGAGUUGAAUAAAAAAACACAUCUUAAUUCUUUGAACUUAGAAUGGAGCUCCGCUAGUAGGAAUAACCCUCCUCCUGCGGACGUAAAGGUACUUGAAGGCCUAAAGCCGCACCAAGACAUUAAGGUACUUAACCUUAGAAGGUAUUGUGGCGCCAGAGCUCCCAGCUGGCUACCAUUAUUGCAGCAGCUGCGUUCCUUGCACCUUACCAAUUGCAGGAGUUUGACCAUGCUUCCUCCACUGGGGCAUUUGGGAUCACUCAGACAUUUACACAUGAAGGAGCUGUGUGCGGUUGACUGUAUUGGACAUGAGUUUUAUGGCACUGGUGAUGUGGCAUUUCCAUCCCUAAACUUCCUUGAAUUUGAUGAUUUCCCAAGGUUGCAUGACUGGUCCGGAAUAGCACACGGAAAGUCAUUUCCAUGCCUUGAAAGAUUAAUCAUAAUGGAUUGUCCAAAAUUGGUCAAAAUUCCUCCCCUCCCCCCAACUACUUGUGAAGUUACCAUUGAGCGUACACAGUUAUUACCAUAUAUGAGGCUUGCCCCUUUUUCUUCGAGUUCAGAGAAGCUCCAACUGGAUGUUUGUACAACUAAUGUCCACUUCAACGGCUUACUUCAUGAACAGCACAGAGGAGCCAUUGUAGCCGUAAACAUAAGUGGUGCUGAGCAGUUCGUUGCUACUGAGGAAAUAGGGUCGCUUGUUUCUCUACAAAGGUUGCAGCUUAGUCGCUGUAAUUUUACUGACCAAAAUUUUAGUAGGUUUCUCCAGGCUCUCCCUUGUCUCUCCUCAUUGGAGAUGAUAGACCUGCCUAACAUGACAUCUCUUCCAGCAUCGGAAACACUUAAGUUCUGCACCAUGCUCACUGAGUUGUCCAUACGCAACUGCCAGCUUUUGCACUCUCUAUCCUCAUUGCAGUUUUUUGAUUCACUAAAAGUUCUGGUGAUCGAGAGAUGUCCUAAAAUUACUGCAACAUCAUUUCCGUUGAACUUUAGUAGCCUUUCAUCUCUCAAAGUGUUGAGAAUAUCAUACUGCUCAGAGCUCCAAUCUUUACCAGUAUGCGGUCUGCCAUCCUCAUUGGAAACACUUCAUAUUAUUGGGUGCCACCCGGAGUUGUCCAAACAGUCAAGAAAUAGGACAGCUGCUUUGGUACCUAGUGUGCCGAUUCAGUGA